CCUACGGGAGGCAGCAGUAAGGAAUAUUGGUCAAUGGACGAAAGUCUGAACCAGCCAUGCCGCGUGAAGGAUUAAGGCCCUCUGGGUUGUAAACUUCUUUUAUCUGGGACGAAAAAAGGGUAUUCUUACUCACUUGACGGUACCAGAGGAAUAAGCACCGGCUAACUCCGUGCCAGCAGCCGCGGUAAUACGGAGGGUGCAAGCGUUAUCCGGAUUUACUGGGUUUAAAGGGUGCGUAGGUGGGCUUGUAAGUCAGUGGUGAAAUCUCCGGGCUUAACCCGGAAACUGCCAUUGAUACUAUAGGUCUUGAAUUAUCUGGAGGUAAGCGGAAUAUGUCAUGUAGCGGUGAAAUGCUUAGAUAUGACAUAGAACACCAAUUGCGAAGGCAGCUUACUACGGAUAUAUUGACACUGAGGCACGAAAGCGUGGGGAUCAAACAGGAUUAGAUACCCUGGUAGUCCACGCCCUAAACGAUGGAUACUCGACAUCAGCGAUACACUGUUGGUGUCUGAGCGAAAGCAUUAAGUAUCCACCUGGAAGUACGAUCGCAAGAUUGAAACUCAAAUGAAAUUGACG
rnacentral:rRNA from 1 species